AUUGAACGCUGGCGGCAGGCUUAACACAUGCAAGUCGAGCGGGGGAAGGUAGCUUGCUACCGGACCUAGCGGCGGACGGGUGAGUAAUGCUUAGGAAUCUGCCUAUUAGUGGGGGACAACAUCUCGAAAGGGAUGCUAAUACCGCAUACGUCCGACGGGAGAAAGCAGGGGAUCUUCGGACCUUGCGCUAAUAGAUGAGUCUAAGUCGGAUUAGCUAGUUGGUAGGGUAAAGGCCUACCAAGGCGACGAUCUGUAGCGGGUCUGAGAGGCUUAUCCGCCACACUGGGACUGAGACACGGCCCAGACUCCUACGUGAGGCAGCAGUGGGGAAUAUUGGUCAAUGUGGGUAACCCUGAUCCAGCCAUGCCGCGUGUGUGAAGAAGGCCUUAUGGUUGUAAAGCACUUUAAGCGAGGAGGAGGCUACUUUAGUUAUUACCUAGAGAUAGUGGACGUUACUCGCAGAAUAAGCACCGGCUAACUCUGUGCCAGCAGCCGCCGUAA
rnacentral:rRNA from 1 species